UACGAAGGGGGCUAGCGUUGCUCGGAAUCACUGGGCGUAAAGCGCACGUAGGCGGGUCCUUAAGUCAGGGGUGAAAUCCCGGAGCUCAACUCCGGAACUGCCUUUGGUACUGGGGUGCUUGAGGACUGGAGAGGAGACUGGAAUUCAUGGUGUAGCAGUGAAAUGCGUAGAGAUCAUGAGGAAGACCAGUGGCGAAGGCGGGUCUCUGGACAGUUCCUGACACUGAGGCACGAAGGCCAGGGGGGCAAACGGG
rnacentral:rRNA from 1 species